ensembl:lncRNA RAB6C-AS1 RAB6C antisense RNA 1
GUUAACAUUUGUGAUAUCGUAAACUACUACAGCUGCAGCAGAAUCACGGAUGUACCUGGGAAUGAGGCUACGGAGACGUUCCUGACCCGCCGUAUCCCACAGCCGAAGCCCGAUUGUUCCAUCCUCCAAGUACAUAGUUUUUGAUAAAAAGUCAAUGCCAAUUAUUGCCUGAUAGGUGUUGUCAAAACUGUCAUACCUGAAUCUGGUGAUCAAAGAUGUCUUUGCAACGCUUUGCUCCCCCAGGAACACCAGCUUGAAUUUCCUCAGCGGAUUCCCGAAGUCUCCGCCCGCGGACAUGGUGGAACUAGAGGAGCUGUCGCCGCCUCAGCCCAGAGACCUCCCGGACCGAUGCUCCUCCAGCCGGCUGACGAAAAAGGCGAGCGGAAGGGCGGGCGCCGAGCUCUCUGCGCCCCUGCAAGGGCCGGUGGAGGAGCCCGGCUGGAGGAGCCCGGCUGGAGGGCAGCAGGGCUCGCCACAGACUGGCAGCCGCCGCCGCCUCCCGGCAGAGUAGCCGAGCACGGAGCGAGGCCCGCGGCUGGGAAGGGAAGGAGGGCGGUGUCGGCAGGAGCCAGGGGUGUGCUUUGGCUUCCCAAGGCUAGGGCCGUUCCCUCCUUCCGCACCCGGCUCAGAGACCUGCGGGAGAGAGACGGAGGGUGGCGGAGCCCAAACCGCAGAUGUAUCCGGGAUCUCUCACGCGCGGCGCUUCGGCUUCCCCAGCCGCCGCCGCCGCAGCCCAACCUGCUGAGUGCGCGAGCCUCUGGCGCAGGGCGAGCCAGGGCGCCUCAACACAGUUUUUUAAAUACACAAAACAUAUGUACUAAAAACAAUGGUGCGGUGAAAACAAAAUAAUGCAAACUAGAAAAAGGACAAAAUUGACAUUUUAAAAACUUUAUUAUGUAUUAUUAAAUAUAUAUUAAAUAGAAAUGUUAUAAAAUUUAACGUCCCUAUCUCCCCGUCUCUGUGAGAGGUCAGAAACCUAACUUUUCUAAGCCACAAUUAAGCAAACACAUCUGGCCUAAUCACAUGGACCAACAUCUCUCCUAACAUCAGGCAGGAAGUUUCAGUAGCUCCUGCAAAACUCUCCCACCUUGCAUUUGAACAGAAAUGUCAACUGAUACAAUUACCCAAGACUUGUAUUAGACUGAAUCUCACAAUCACACUCAGCCUGAUUAUUAACCCUUCUCCUGCAUCUUGCUCACCUAAAUGUAUCUACAUUUUCUAUGAACUGAAGAGCUUAGAAAUGUAUGUCGUCCAUGUAUUAUAGUGUAAGUUAUUGUAAUAUAGAAAUAUGGAUUUUCUUUAACUCCCAUUUUCUGCCUAGGAAAUAGCAAUGUUUUUUGAGUAUGGCAAGUGUUUCCAAGCAUUCAGAAGUGGAGAGUGUAGGAUAUCCACUGCAAAAUGAGGUCUGCUUGUCAUCCUCUUAGUCUCCACUGCUAUCCCUCCCUCAUCUCUCUCUGUUUCAUUGGUGAGUAUGGAAGAUCAGUCACUUUUAUAUGAAAUGAAAAUUGAUGAAACUAAGGUGUUGAUUUGAUUAUCCAAGCAACCAUUUAUUGAGUGUUCAUUACAAGUCAAAUUGUGUUCUGGAGAACAGCUCAGGAAAUGAAUGUUUGACAUCGAUGUACAUAACAGAAAUACGAACAUACCAUUAAAAACUCAGACCUCUUAUGACAAUCCAGAUUCUCAUGUAAGUUUUGUGAAGCUCUUUCAAGAUGAAAAUGUAACAAUUCAAAAAAAAUUAUUUAAACAAGUCAUUCUUGAGACAUAAAAAUGGAAUUAGAAGAUCAUAUAUGGCUGUUUCACUAGCUGAAAUCUAAAGUACUGUUUUUAGUCAAUUAACGGCCAUAUAAUUGUUAGUUUUAUAUACUGAUAUUCAUCAGAAAUUAAAAACUUUAAAAAGUA